GACAGAGGCCUCGAGCGUUAGGCGGAAUCACUGGGCUUAAAGCGUGUGUAGGCGGGCCCGUAAGUGUCUUGUGAAAUCCCACGGCUUAACCGUGGAACUGCUUGGUAUACUGGGUGUCUUGAGCCACUUAGGGGCGACCGGAACAAACGGUGGAGCGGUGAAAUGCGUAGAUAUCGUUUGGAACGCCAAUGGUGAAAACAGGUCGCUGGGAGUGCGCUGACGCUGAGACACGAAAGCCAGGGGAGCGAACGGG
rnacentral:rRNA from 1 species